GUUAGUAAUAGGGAACCAGUCAAUGAUUUCAAUAGUUUUCGAAAUAUCAAGAAGUGACUUGAUUUAAUUAUUUUCUCUAAUAGCUUAUUAUUUCUUAUUAUUUGAGGAGAAUCAUGGCUACGUCAACUGGAGCAUCUAGGGGAUCAAAAAGAAAGAAAUACAAUACCAAAACUGGAUUUGAAGAAUUUGGUGGAUAUAUGUCAGCUAAAAUAUCUAAACUACAAGAUCAAUUUCAUAAUAUCGAAGUAGAUAAGGAAUCAACAGGUAUUUUUCACGGUGUUUCGAUUUACGUUAAUGGAUACACUGAACCAUCUUCGGAUGUCUUGAAAAAAAUAAUGAAAGAGAACGGAGGAAUCUAUCAUCAUUAUUAUAGCAGAAGAUAUGUAUCUCAUAUUAUAGCAACAAACUUACCAAACGGUAAAAUCGAUAAAUUAACUGAUCAAAAAAUUGUAAAAGCUGCUUGGAUAACUGAGAGUGUAAAAGAAGGAAAACUAUUACCUUAUACCGAUUUUUUAGUAGUUCCACCUAAUCAGAAAAAUCAAAAAACGUUGACUUUUACCAAAACUGUUACUUUUGAUAAGAAAGCACAGUCAAAUGAAGAAUCACCAACAAAAAAUAAAAACUUUGUGUCAGAUUUUUACAGUCGUUCCAGGUUACAUCAUAUCAGUAAUUGGGGAGCAGAAUUUAAGGAAUACGUAAAUUCAUUACAAAAACAGGAAGAUAGAAUCUUCCCGGAAAGGGAAAAUCUACAGAAAUUUAUACAGAACGAAGAUCUUCCUAUUUCUUCUGAGGCUAAACUGCAGAAAAUUUAUAUGCAUGUUGAUAUGGAUUGCUUUUUUGUAUCUGUUGGAUUAAGGAAUAAACCAGACCUUAAAGGUAAACCAGUAGCAGUUACCCAUUCUAAAGGAGGAAAGGGAAAAGGUGAACAAUCUUCAUUGUCUCAUUCAGAACGUCGGAACUUUGAAAAAAAUUAUUAUAAUAACCGAGAAUUUCGCGGAAAGAAGACGAACACAACAGGAAUGAUAAAUGAAACGGAAAUGUUUUCUGAACAUAUGGGAGAGCAGGGGAAGGAGAAGGAGGAAGAGGAAUUCUAUUCUAUGGCAGAAAUUGCUUCCUGUUCCUAUGAGGCUAGAAAGGCAGGAGUUAAAAAUGGAAUGCUCAUGGGAAAAGCAAAGAAAUUGUGUCCAGAAUUGCAAACAAUAAACUAUGAUUUUGAAGGAUAUUCAGAAGUUGCUAGAAUUCUAUACGAUACAGUUGCGAGUUUCACACAUGAUAUCGAAGCUGUUAGUUGCGAUGAAAUGUUAAUUGACUGCGUCGAUGUUCUAGCUGAUACUGGUGCAAGUCCUAUGCAAUUUGCAACUUAUUUACGGGAAACUAUAAGAGAAAAAACCGGUUGUAAUGCCUCCAUUGGAAUAGGAAAAAAUCUAUUAUUAGCAAGAUUAGCAACUAAAAAAGCAAAACCAAACGGACAAUUCUUAAUGAAAGAAGAAGAAUCGUUGGCAAUCAUCAAAGAAUUACCAGUAAGAAAUUUACCGGGUGUUGGCUGGGCAUUAGGAAAGAAAUUAGAUACGCUAAACAUCAAAACUUGCGGCGACUUACAGACAAUUUCCCUAGACGUUUUACAAAAGGAAAUUGGUAACAAAACGGCUAUCAACCUAAUCCAAUUUAGUAAAGGCAUAGACGAUAGAACGUUAAAAUCCCAAAAAGUACGAAAAUCUGUUUCGGCUGAAAUUAAUUAUGGUAUUCGUUUUAAAUUGAUGGAGGAAGCCGAUGAAUUUUUAUCCAAUUUAUCACAAGAAUUAUCAAAUAGAUUGCAAAAUAUUAAAGCCAAAACUAAAUGUCUAACUUUAAAAUUAAAAAUAAGAUCUGAAGGAGCUCCGAAAGAAACAGCUAAAUUUCUUGGUCACGGCAUUUGCGAUACUGUUGCGAAAUCAACAACCAUAGCCAUUGCAACAGACGAAAGUCAAAUAAUUGAUCAGGAAGUUUGCACUUUAUUAAGGAUGAUUAAUCCUACUAUAGAAGAUAUGAGAGGAGUCGGUAUUCAAGCAACAAAACUACAAUUUCCUGCAGAAAAUAAAAGUAUACCAAAAGUUAACUAUGGAGCUGAUAUUACGAAAUUCACUGUUAAAUCUACCAAGCAAAAUAGUAUUAAUCCUGUAAAUUCUGAUACAAAAAAUUCUCUAUGUAACGACAACAAACUUAAAAUAAGGGAGAAAAGCAUUAGUCCUGAAACUUUACCACCUUUACCAUUCGCUGGAGGAUACGAAUUGGAUGAUGACGAUGAUCACUCAAUAACUAGUUUUCAACCUCUAUCGUCGCAUGAUAAAAUCGUUGAUGAAGAUGAUAAUAAUAGUCAAAAAAAUGAAAAUGAAGGUGACAAAAGUAUAUAUAUUAUCGACCAUGUUCCACCUCCAGAUUAUCUCUCUUACUCUAAGGUUUUCAUUUUUACCUCUUUUCUUGACUUUUAAAAUAAAAACAAAUGGUUUAUUUUCAUAGCUUGAUCAAGACAUUCUCGAAGAGCUUCCAUUAGAUCUUCAGCGCGAAAUACAAGCCGAAUGUAAAAAGCAGCCGAAACCAUUACCUAAACCUAUUAUCAAAACACCAGUAAAGAGAUCCCCGAAAAAGAGAGCAAGAAAAUCAAAAACAUCCAUUCCUUCCCGAUUUCAUACACCUUCGCAACCAACUUUGACAGGUCUUGUUGAAAAGUCAACCAACAAACGAGAAAAUUCUAUUAGUCCACCAAAGCUGGAUAUUGUUAAAGAUUCACCUAAAAGGCCAAAAGUAACAAUAUGUGGUGCUGAAAAAGAAUGUGAAGUAAGAGAACUACUAGAAGAAUGGAUUAAAUCAACAGACGAACCGGAGAACGAAGAUUUUCAAAGAUUUAUAAAUUAUAUACUUGAAUUGAUAUCUGACAAAAAUAUGGAAUUGGCGUAUUCUUUACUUAUCUUUAUGAAAAGGUAAUAAAAAUCAUUCUUAUUAUUAUCGAUAUAGUUAUAAUCUCUUCUUUUCACUAUAGAAAACUAUCAUCAUCAUCAGUGUCAUGGAGAAUGUCUUAUCAAAAUGCUAUAGAAGAUGUUCAAUUUGUCAUCAAAGAAACCUAUGGGGGAAGCUUUAAACUGUAAAAAAUUAUUGCAUAUAUAAUAAAUAAAUCUGAAUACAAAGUUUCGAAAAAACAGGCAAUUGUUCUAUUUUUUUAUUAUUAACAACAUGAUUAAUCUAUUACGGAUGUUUACAUCAUAAAAAAUAGGUAUUUUCUCAAAACGGACGCUUACAUAGACUUUCGUCUUAUAUUGAUUGCAUAACAAUUUGUAAAGUUAACACUAAAAACUAUACAUAAUUUUACUUAGCAUAUAAAAUUUUAUCGAUAAUACUCUGUGUAAUCAGUGGGUUAAUAUUGAAAGAUAGAAAUCUCUACCAGUUUUUCAUAGGC
rnacentral:misc_RNA from 1 species